UUGAGAGAAAGGGAGCUAAGGAAAAAUAACAAGGCCUUCAACUUGAAUGAAACAUUUGAACCUGAGUUGCAGUUAAGAGAAGAUGAAAACUCAAAUGCUGCCCAUGUCUCUGUAACUUGAUAAUUUGGUUGAAAAAGCAAAAGGGUAUGGCUGGUUCUUGCCAGAUUUCGAUAUGCGUGGUUUCUGUUUUUUUCGAUACGGGGAGUUCGAAAUUAUUGUUUUUGUGGUAAAAAUUGAUUUUUCGUUUUGAUAUGAGGUGUUUGUGUAACUUGAUAAUUUGGGUUGAAGAGUAAAAGGGUAUAACUGGUUCUUUCCUUUUUUUUUGUAUGUGUUUGUUUGCAUAUCGCUCUGUAAUGGUUGCUUCUUGAAAUUCCAGGCUUUGGUUUUGAUGCUCAGGUUUUUUAGUGUAUCACUUGUUGCAUUCUUCUUUCUAUGGCGUGCUUCGUCAGCCGGAUCACAAGCUGAGGUGAAGGGCUUGGUCACCGUAGACUCCGCCUCAGUAAACGACGAAAAGGUUGAUGUGAGUCAAGCUGGCACUGCAGAUUCCAUAGCGUGGGAGAAUCUUGGCUGGUUCUAUGUCUCGGUCAGAAUUGCAUUGUUCCUCUGGGUAUGAUGAAUAUAUCUCUGCAAUUAGAAGAGGUGAAGAUUCAUGGUCUCUGGAGAUGAGUGCAGGGGGUCUGGUCAGUAAUUCCAUCCGCUCCUGCCUACAAGUUACAACCACAAAACACCAUGACAAUCACACUCCAAAGAAGGAUCAAUUCCAGCUAGUUUAUCUUCAACAUAAUUUCAUUCACUAAAAGUGUGAAGUCACCAAGUUAAACAAAGUGUGCAGAGGAUCACAAACUAACUCACAUGUCUACUGCAAUUAAGAACCGAGCUUAGGAUAAAUGGAUAAUGUAUUAUUUAUCGUAUUGCAUGAACAACUUGUCAAAUGCUUUGUAUAUUUCAAAGCUCUACUGUAUUUUGCAGUACAACAGCAAUUAGGUACACAAUACAGUAGCAACUAUUUCUUAUUUAAAUCGAUAAAUCCAUCGAUAUUAUUCAAGGAUGCAUGCGCCGUCAUCGGCAUCGUCGUCGUCUUAUCAUUUGUCAAAUGGGAAUCAAAAACUUCAGAAAUUGCUGCAGAAUAUAUCUCAAUUCAUGACAUGAGACUUGUUCAAAUUGAAGUAAUAG